GACGAACGCUGGCGGCGUGCUUAACACAUGCAAGUCGAGCGGUAAGGCCCUUUCGGGGGUACACGAGCGGCGAACGGGUGAGUAACACGUGGGUGACCUGCCUUUAGCUCUGGGAUAAGCCUGGGAAACCGGGUCUAAUACCGGAUAUGACUCCGCGGCGCAUGUUGUGGGGUGGAAAGCCUUGUGCGGCUGGAGAUGGGCCCGCGGCCUAUCAGCUUGUUGGUGGGGUGANGGCCUACCAAGGCGACGACGGGUAGCCGGCCUGAGAGGGCGACCGGCCACACUGGGACUGAGACACGGCCCAGACUCCUACGGGAGGCAGCAGUGGGGAAUCUUGCGCAAUGGGCGAAAGCCUGACGCAGCGACGCCGCGUGAGGGAUGACGGCCUCGG
rnacentral:rRNA from 1 species